UAAAGGUAUUCCGGUAGACGAUGGGGAUGCGUUCCAUUAGAUAGUAGGCGGGGUAACGGCCCACCUAGUCUUCGAUGGAUAGGGGUUCUGAGAGGAAGGUCCCCCACAUUGGAACUGAGACACGGUCCAAACUCCUACGGGAGGCAGCAGUGAGGAAUAUUGGUCAAUGGGCGAGAGCCUGAACCAGCCAAGUAGCGUGAAGGAUGACUGCCCUAUGGGUUGUAAACUUCUUUUAUAAAGGAAUAAAGUCGGGUAUGUAUACCCGUUUGCAUGUACUUUAUGAAUAAGGAUCGGCUAACUCCGUGCCAGCAGCCGCGGUAAUACGGAGGAUCCGAGCGUUAUCCGGAUUUAUUGGGUUUAAAGGGAGCGUAGAUGGAUGUUUAAGUCAGUUGUGAAAGUUUGCGGCUCAACCGUAAAAUUGCAGUUGAUACUGGAUAUCUUGAGUGCAGUUGAGGCAGGCGGAAUUCGUGGUGUAGCGGUGAAAUGCUUAGAUAUCACGAAGAACUCCGAUUGCGAAGGCAGCCUGCUAAGCUGCAACUGACAUUGAGGCUCGAAAGUGUGGGUAUCAAACAGGAUUAGAUACCCUGGUAGUCCACACGGUAAACGAUGAAUACUCGCUGUUUGCGAUAUACUGCAAGCGGCCAAGCGAAAGCGUUAAGCAUUCCACCUGGGG
rnacentral:rRNA from 1 species